AUUGAACGCUGGCGGCAGGCCUAACACAUGCAAGUCGAGCGGAUGAAGGGAGCUUGCUCCUGGAUUCAGCGGCGGACGGGUGAGUAAUGCCUAGGAAUCUGCCUUGGAGUGGGGGAUAACGUCCGGAAACGGGCGCUAAUACCGCAUACGUCCUGAGGGAGAAAGUGGGGGAUCUUCGGACCUCACGCUAUCAGAUGAGCCUAGGUCGGAUUAGCUAGUUGGUGGGGUAAAGGCCUACCAAGGCGACGAUCCGUAACUGGUCUGAGAGGAUGAUCAGUCACACUGGAACUGAGACACGGUCCAGACUCCUACGGGAGGCAGCAGUGGGGAAUAUUGGACAAUGGGCGAAAGCCUGAUCCAGCCAUGCCGCGUGUGUGAAGAAGGUCUUCGGAUUGUAAAGCACUUUAAGUUGGGAGGAAGGGCAGUAAGUUAAUACCUUGCUGUUUUGACGUUACCAACAGAAUAAGCACCGGCUAACUUCGUG
rnacentral:rRNA from 1 species